rnacentral:misc_RNA from 1 species
AACGCACAUUGCGCCCGCCAGUACUCUGGCGGGCAUGCCUGUCCGAGCGUCAUUUCAACCCUCGAACCCCUCCGGGGGGUCGGCGUUGGGGAUCGGCCCUCCCUCGCGGGGGGCCGUCUCCGAAAUACAGUGGCGGUCUCGCCGCAGCCUCUCCUGCGCAGUAGUUUGCACACUCGCACCGGGAGCGCGGCGCGUCCACAGCCGUUAAACACCCAACUUUCUGAAAUGUUGACCUCGGAUCAGGUAGGAAUACCCGCUGAACUUAA